rnacentral:rRNA from 1 species
CCUACGGGAGGCAGCAGUGGGGAAUUUUGGACAAUGGGCGCAAGCCUGAUCCAGCAAUGCCGCGUGAGUGAAGAAGGCCUUCGGGUUGUAAAGCUCUUUUGUCAGGGAAGAAACGGUGGGAGCUAAUAUCUCCCGCUAAUGACGGUACCUGAAGAAUAAGCACCGGCUAACUACGUGCCAGCAGCCGCGGUAAUACGUAGGGUGCAAGCGUUAAUCGGAAUUACUGGGCGUAAAGCGUGCGCAGGCGGUUUUGUAAGUCUGUCGUGAAAGCCCCGGGCUCAACCUGGGAAUUGCGAUGGAGACUGCAAGGCUUGAAUCUGGCAGAGGGGGGUAGAAUUCCACGUGUAGCAGUGAAAUGCGUAGAGAUGUGGAGGAACACCGAUGGCGAAGGCAGCCCCCUGGGUCAAGAUUGACGCUCAUGCACGAAAGCGUGGGGAGCAAACAGGAUUAGAUACCCUGGUAGUCCACGCCCUAAACGAUGUCUACUAGUUGUCGGGUUUUAAUUAACUUGGUAACGCAGCUAACGCGUGAAGUGACCGCCUGGGGAGUACGGUCGCAAGAUUAAAACUCAAAUGAAUUGACG